GCCGAAGUGGUGAAACUGGCAGACACGCUAGGUUCAGGGUCUAGUCCUAGAAAUAGGGUGGGGGUUCAAAUCCCCCCUUCGGCA
rnacentral:tRNA from 1 species